CAGCCGCCACGGUAAUACGGAGGGUGCAAGCGUUAUCCGGAUUUAUCGGGUUUAAAGGGUCCGUAGGCGGACUUAUAAGUCAGUGGUGAAAGCCUGUCGCUUAACGAUAGAACUGCCAUUGAUACUGUAAGUCUUGAGUAUAUUUGAGGUAGCUGGAAUAAGUAGUGUAGCGGUGAAAUGCAUAGAUAUUACUUAGAACACCAAUUGCGAAGGCAGGUUACCAAGAUAUAACUGACGCUGAGGGACGAAAGCGUGGGUAGCGAACAGGAUUAGAUACCCCCGUAGUCCCUGUCUCUUAUAC
rnacentral:rRNA from 1 species